CGGCAACCACGUCCCCUUUUUUCCAUUAUUCACGCAAACCCUAACCCCAACAUUAAGAAAAAUUUUCAAUUCACAAUCUGCGAUCAUCUGCACUGGUUUUACUUUUUUCCACAGGUAUGUCGACGUUGUGAACGUGGAAGAUACACUGACGAAGAUGAAUACGGUGAAGAUCUGUGAAGCUAAAUUGUCAGUGUCCAUUGCCAAAUACAAUAAAGAUCAUCAGAAGUUUGAGGCGGUAAAAGGCAGGAAUGUUGAGAAGGAUUGGCGGCCGAAAAAAGACAACCAAACUCCAGCGUGGCAUCAACGGGCCGUUUAUAUAGCAAAAUUGUGGGAGGUGGAAGCAGAAACGCCAGCCAUGAUAACAAAAAAACAAUUCUGGUGGAUAACAAUGGUGCUACAUACCCUGGGCAUUGUGUAGGACGAUCGGUACUGGGCAUAGCUUGGAAUUU